rnacentral:rRNA from 1 species
CGGUACAUCGGUGACAGGUGGUGCAUGGUUGUCGUCAGCUCGUGUCGUGAGAUGUUGGGUUAAGUCCCGCAACGAGCGCAACCCCUAUUGUUAGUUGCCAUCAUUCAGUUGGGCACUCUAGCGAGACUGCCGGUAAUAAACCGGAGGAGGGUGGGAUGACGUCAAAUCAUCAUGCCCCUUAUGACCUGGGCUACACACGUGCUACAAUGGUUGGUACAACGAGUUGCGAGUCGGUGACGGCGAGCUAAUCUCUUAAAGCCAAUCUCAGUUCGGAUUGUAGGCUGCAACUCGCCUACAUGAAGUCGGAAUCGCUAGUAAUCGCGGAUCAGCACGCCGCGGUGAAUACGUUCCCGGGCCUU